UUCAGGUUUGCUUAAAAAAAAAGAAAAAAAAAAGAAAGAAAGAAAAUGGGGCAACACUGUCGAGGUGCUCAAUGAAGCAGGUGUUUUUGAUUAAAGCGGUAGCAAAGGUGCUCUGAGUGCGUUUCAGUAGCCCAGCGAUCGCACUCCAUCAUGUGCUGGAGGUGCUGGGAGUUGACAGGCGGACACGAAGACAGGAACAGCGAAGGACAGCUGAGGCGGAGGUACAAUGGACCCCGGAGUGACACGACUGUCAAUUUCUGGCGCGCCUGCGUCAAACCUGGUCUUUGUGACAACACGGAGUUCGUGUGAAGGAAAGUGUCCACUGUGCAAGGGGAAAGUCUCUGCUUUUUGGGUUUGGGCAGCAUCAGAACUGGUAUCGGUUACUGGAUUAGGCUCCUCUUAUCCAUCAAAGGAAAGAAUCAAGUAAAAGAAUGUUUGAACGCCGACAGAAUUUUGACAGUCUCUGUCAUCAUGCCGGCCUGUUUGGGGUCGAUCGCCCGUGCCAACAGCAACAAGCUUCGCUCAUCUCCCAAGAUCCUUUGCAGUCCAUACUGUGGGAAAGAGCAGCUUCUCCAACGCAUCCAGGAGAAGGCCGAGACCUUCGUGGCCGAAGUUAUUAACCCAACUGAAAAACAGCAACAAAAGAGAAGCAGAAACGCAUGAAAAAUCAGCCGGCGCGAUAUUCAGUCAAACCCUGUCGGUUCACCAGAAGCCAUGCUGAUCACAGAAGGAAGCGAGCACAAACAAUAUUGCAUUAACCUCAGAGGAAAUCAGUCAUUCAGACUAAUAUCAGAGGCUUAACACUUAACCAGAUAAAUUGACUGUUGUAGUGGUUUUUAAUUCCUAACAGGGAGCACUGCAAAUCAAAAACCUCCCUGCCCUCUCCCUGACACCUAAUACAGUGUGAAUCAGUUUGAAUUUAAACUGUACCCAUUUACAAGCAAAUGAACACCCAUCCAUCUUAACUAGUGUUCCCAUCUCUGAGCAGCUCGCAUCCAGGCCCCCCUCCUGUGAGCUACUAUGUUACUGCGCCAAAAGAUUAAGCAAUGCAAGAAAGAUAACACUGUAAUCGAUAAUGGAUUGCGAGAGAUAAUUGGCUAUAAACCACACCGUAUCAGGAGACAGCAAAUGAUCCAGUGCAGAUGAGCCUGUUUGUCUCAGGGAAGGGGAGAGACAGGAGGAGGAUGGGAGUGACAGCGUGGUCACAGUCAGAUUAUGUCAUUAGCAUUACUUGUUUUCAGGCCUCUAACUGUCAAUAAUACAAAAUGCAUGGAGCAAUUUUCUGACAUUAACGGGGCAACAGUCAAUGAUUUAUCCCGCCUUUCUGACAAUGAUUUGAAAUAAUAAUGGUUUGGGUAUUAAAGCCAUUUGUAUUGACUCGGUGAGUCGGAAGAGACCCUCAAUUAGGCAUGAGAUGCAUUAGCCCGAGGCAGCCGGAGAAGUUGAGGUGAGGUAUUUCUUUGAUCUGUGACUAAAUUAGCACGUACGACAAACACCCACCUAACAUUACUCAAAUUUCAUUCGCAGACAAGCACGGCCAAUUUAGAAGUUAUUAAUAUUUACGGCGGCGCAUAACGAUGAUCUGUUUUCUUAAUAAAAACGAAACAUGAUAAUGUUUACAAAUGUCUUUAUAAAUGUCUGAUUACAAAGAGACGCCGAAUCCGAACGCGUCUUUCCUGCGCGUACUUGGCGCACGCUGAAGCCCACAAAACAGGAGAAGGAACCAGUCAAGAGAGGCUCAGUUUCCCGCACAAUAACAAGUCAGUUGUAUUUCUAUUUGUGACACAGAGGUGCUAGGAGUCAAUUAAAGAGUGGAAGGACAUGGCUGAGGGAGCACAAUUCACUAAGUCCACAGCCUUUGUUUAUGCUCCUUAGCAAUAAUGGUAAUGUCAGUCUUUGGAGAGCAGGAAAUGGGACCAAUAUUUGUGAAGAGAAAUGUUGUUCAUUAUAACACUGUGUAACUAUAAUACGCGGUUUUGGGAUCAUUAGCCCAUAAGUGUGUGAGAACACUUCUGAGAAAUGACCAUUUAACACUCACAACAAGUGAGAUGUAAAUGUACCGCAUGUGUACAUGUAAUUACAUUUCUAACAAUUCUGUAUUGCAUUGUGUUUUUUUUCACAAAUUGAAAAUAAAAGAGUUUGUUUUCUGGCA